AUCACGUCUGUUCUAAUACCACAGGGUGUAAUGUUAACCCCGUGGCUUCGCUUUCAGACGAGAUAAUUUCUUCAAAAUUAUCCUAGUGUUAUUUUCCUAUACGUGGAUAUAGCACUGGCACUUUGAAGAUACAUUU